ensembl:lncRNA
CUGGUGGAUUGCUACAGUACAGUAUAGUAAACUCAGUAAACUCAGUCUCAGCACUUCUAGAUAGAGGAACCUUGGUUUGAGGUUGAGGGCCUGUUGGUUUUAAAGCAAUGGAAAUGGGAAAGUGGGUAUGGAGAUAUGGUAUGUUGAGGCUGGGACUGGGAUAGUGGGUAUGGGGGUAUGGUAUGUUGAGGCUGGGACUGGGAUAGUGGGUACGGAGGUAUGGUAUGUUGUUGCUGGGACUGGGAUAGUGGGUAUGGAGGUAUGGUAUGUUGAGGCUGGGAGUUUGUGGUUUGUUAUUAAUGUGUGUCUUGGCAUGUGAGGGGUGUGUCUGCCAGUGUGUUAGGCUGUGGAACAAUGGGUGAUGUUUGGUAUGUGGGGGCUGUCUGUGAGAGGGGG